rnacentral:lncRNA from 1 species
UGUACCAGGUGAACAUCUCAGAAAGUUGCAGAAGCCCAUGGAGCUGUGUGAAGACUCUGCAUCCAUCCACCCUCCAGUUACCUUCAUGUUCCUUCCACGCAUCAUCACCACGUCUUUCAGAUGAGGGGGUAUCUUCUUCUGAGCUCUUCAGGGAAGAUGGCGUUGUUUAGUUCUCAAGCAAGUGGGAGUCAUGCACAGCUUGUCAGCAGACAGUGUCCACACAGCUUCACGCCUCUGGAACCUGACUCACCUUCAUUCCCAGAAUGGCACAGCCUUCCCCCUUUGCUGGUGUCGGUGCUGAGAGGUCUCUGGCAAGGGCUGAGAGGUGGGGAUGGAUCUGAAUGAGAGGCCUAGAAUUCCUGGUCCUGGUCUAAGAUAAGAGCCAACACUGGUGAUACAGGGUGGUUGAUGAAAGGAGCCUGGGUCCUCUGAGGUCCUGCUGAGCUACAGUAUGCAUGCAGCAUGUUUUGGAAUGUGGAUUUCCUAUGGGUUUCCUGGUCUGUGGGAUAAUAGAGUUGUUGGCUGAUGGAA